CUGUACAUACUUUGAAAUUAGUUUCAUGCGAUGUAUCACAAUAAAGAAGUUCCCGCUUCUUAGAAUGUAAUUUAUGUAUUUAAUAAUUCCACAGUUUGCGGUGUUAUACUUAUAAAUCACCUGCUUCUUGUUUCAGAGCCGUUUCGGAAUAUUAUUCAACACUUGCGUUAUACGGAUUUUCCUGUGGGGAUUAUGUAAAUUGAGAUAAAAGGAAAAUGUCGUGUAGCCAAAGAAUCUUUCGAAAAGCAUCUCUUUUGAAGAAGAAUUCAACAUCAAUCAGAAUAAGUUGAAGGGAUGAUAAAUUCAUACAAGACAUUGUUUAAGUUCUAUGAAUAAUAAGAAGGCCAGUACUUUGUGGAUUUUCCGGUUCAGCCGGGAUAUUUCGAAGUUUUCUUAUUUUGGCCCGUAAUCCUAACUUCACCGAGAGGUAUUUUAUUUUUGGAAUGUUUUUUAUUUUCCCGUGACUUCAAUUUUAUUGUGGAUAUAUCUAAAGAGUUUCAUUAUUUCUGACUUGUUACAGUUUUUCGAUGUAUUUUCUAUCUUGUUCACAAUAAUCUAUUUAUUACAAAUGGUAUAUGUUCAUCGUUAUUUUUAAUAAUAGGGAUUACUUUCUAUGAUAUAUACUCGUUGUAAUUAGUGAGUAAUGUUAUUUCAAUUAUUAAAUAAAAUAUUUAAUAAUCUUCAAAACAGA